UACGGAGGGUGCAAGCGUUAUCCGGAUUCACUGGGUUUAAAGGGUGCGUAGGUGGAGUGGUAAGUCAGUGGUGAAAUCUCCGUGCUUAACAUGGAAACUGCCAUUGAUACUACUGAUCUUGAAUUUUCUGGAGGUAAGCGGAAUAUGUCAUGUAGCGGUGAAAUGCUUAGAUAUGACAUAGAACACCAAUUGCGAAGGCAGCUUGCUACAGGGAUAUUGACACUGAGGCACGAAAGCGUGGGGAUCAAACAGG
rnacentral:rRNA from 1 species